AAAAAGAUUUCAAAAUGGUUGGACUUGAUACAUUGGUAGGAUACAGAGUUGUAACUCCAGGUAAGCGGAACAUUGGGAAGGUGCGAGGAUACACUUUCAACAUUAAUUCAGGGUCUGUUG